rnacentral:tRNA from 1 species
GGGGAUUUAGCUCAGCGGCAUAAGCGCCUGCCUUGCAAGCAGGCAGUUGUGGGUUUGAUCCCCG